rnacentral:rRNA from 1 species
AAUACAUGCAAGUCGAGCGGACAGAAGGGAGCUUGCUCCCGGAUGUUAGCGGCGGACGGGUGAGUAACACGUGGGUAACCUGCCUGUAAGACUGGGAUAACUCCGGGAAACCGGAGCUAAUACCGGAUAGUUCCUUGAACCGCAUGGUUCAAGGAUGAAAGACGGUUUCGGCUGUCACUUACAGAUGGACCCGCGGCGCAUUAGCUAGUUGGUGGGGUAAUGGCUCACCAAGGCGACGAUGCGUAGCCGACCUGAGAGGGUGAUCGGCCACACUGGGACUGAGACACGGCCCAGACUCCUACGGGAGGCAGCAGUAGGGAAUCUUCCGCAAUGGACGAAAGUCUGACGGAGCAACGCCGCGUGAGUGAUGAAGGUUUUCGGAUCGUAAAGCUCUGUUGUUAGGGAAGAACAAGUGCGAGAGUAACUGCUCGCACCUUGACGGUACCUAACCAGAAAGCCACGGCUAACUACGUGCCAGCAGCCGCGGUAAUACGUAGGUGGCAAGCGUUGUCCGGAAUUAUUGGGCGUAAAGGGCUCGCAGGCGGUUUCUUAAGUCUGAUGUGAAAGCCCCCGGCUCAACCGGGGAGGGUCAUUGGAAACUGGGAAACUUGAGUGCAGAAGAGGAGAGUGGAAUUCCACGUGUAGCGGUGAAAUGCGUAGAGAUGUGGAGGAACACCAGUGGCGAAGGCGACUCUCUGGUCUGUAACUGACGCUGAGGAGCGAAAGCGUGGGGAGCGAACAGGAUUAGAUACCCUGGUAGUCCACGCCGUAAACGAUGAGUGCUAAGUGUUAGGGGGUUUCCGCCCCUUAGUGCUGCAGCUAACGCAUUAAGCACUCCGCCUGGGGAGUACGGUCGCAAGACUGAAACUCAAAGGAAUUGACGGGGGCCCGCACAAGCGGUGGAGCAUGUGGUUUAAUUCGAAGCAACGCGAAGAACCUUACCAGGUCUUGACAUCCUCUGACAACCCUAGAGAUAGGGCUUUCCCUUCGGGGACAGAGUGACAGGUGGUGCAUGGUUGUCGUCAGCUCGUGUCGUGAGAUGUUGGGUUAAGUCCCGCAACGAGCGCAACCCUUGAUCUUAGUUGCCAGCAUUCAGUUGGGCACUCUAAGGUGACUGCCGGUGACAAACCGGAGGAAGGUGGGGAUGACGUCAAAUCAUCAUGCCCCUUAUGACCUGGGCUACACACGUGCUACAAUGGACAGAACAAAGGGCUGCAAGACCGCAAGGUUUAGCCAAUCCCAUAAAUCUGUUCUCAGUUCGGAUCGCAG